ensembl:snoRNA SNORD10 Small nucleolar RNA SNORD10
GCUGUAAUGAUGAUCCCCAUGCGUGUCAACUGACUCCGGAGUCUCCUGUGCUCCUCUGCCACGUCUCAGCGUUCUGUUGCGGUGUGUACAGGGUUCACAGCUCUCUGGAGGCAUGAUCUGACCUCACUGACCUGACCACAGC